GCCGGGCAUGGUGGCGCGUGCCUGUAAUCCCAGCUACUCGGGAGGCUGAGACAGGAGAAUCGCUUGAACCCGGGAGGCCGAGGUUGCAGUGAGCCAAGAUCGCGCCACUGCACUCCAGCCUGGGCGACUGAGCAAGAUUCCGUCUCGG
rnacentral:sRNA from 1 species